rnacentral:rRNA from 1 species
AACGAACGCUGGCGGCAUGCCUAACACAUGCAAGUCGAACGGUGAAGGCGGAGCUUGCUCUGCUGGAUCAGUGGCGAACGGGUGAGUAACACGUGAGCAAUCUGCCCCUGACUCUGGGAUAAGCGCUGGAAACGGCGUCUAAUACUGGAUACGAGCUGCGAAGGCAUCUUCAGCAGCUGGAAAGAACUUCGGUCAGGGAUGAGCUCGCGGCCUAUCAGCUUGUUGGUGAGGUAACGGCUCACCAAGGCGUCGACGGGUAGCCGGCCUGAGAGGGUGACCGGCCACACUGGGACUGAGACACGGCCCAGACUCCUACGGGAGGCAGCAGUGGGGAAUAUUGCACAAUGGGCGAAAGCCUGAUGCAGCAACGCCGCGUGAGGGACGACGGCCUUCGGGUUGUAAACCUCUUUUAGCAGGGAAGAAGCGAAAGUGACGGUACCUGCAGAAAAAGCGCCGGCUAACUACGUG